rnacentral:rRNA from 1 species
UACGGAGGGUGCAAGCGUUAUCCGGAUUCACUGGGUUUAAAGGGUGCGUAGGUGGUUCGGUAAGUCAGGUGUGAAACCUCCAGGCUCAACCUGGAGACGCCACUUGAUACUGCUGUGACUGGAGUCCGGUAGGGGAGCGUGGAAUUCCUGGUGUAGCGGUGAAAUGCGCAGAUAUCAGGAGGAACACCAGCGGCGAAGGCGGCGCUCUGGGCCGGUACUGACACUGAGGAGCGAAAGCGUGGGUAGCAAACAGG